GGCUAAUAUCCUUUGCUAAUGACGGUACCUGAAGAAUAAGCACCGGCUAACUACGUGCCAGCAGCCGCGGUAAUACGUAGGGUGCAAGCGUUAAUCGGAAUUACUGGGCGUAAAGCGUGCGCAGGCGGUUUUGUAAGUCUGUCGUGAAAUCCCCGGGCUCAACCUGGGAAUUGCGAUGGAGACUGCAAGGCUAGAAUCUGGCAGAGGGGGGUAGAAUUCCACGUGUAGCAGUGAAAUGCGUAGAUAUGUGGAGGAACACCGAUGGCGAAGGCAGCCCCCUGGGUCAAGAUUGACGCUCAUGCACGAAAGCGUGGGGAGCAAACAGGAUUAGAUACCCUGGUAGUCCACGCCCUAAACGAUGUCUACUAGUUGUCGGGUCUUAAUUGACUUGGUAACGCAGCUAACGCGUGAAGUAGACCGCCUGGGGAGUACGGUCGCAAGAUUAAAACUCAAAGGAAUUGACGGGGACCCGCACAAGCGGUGGAUGAUGUGGAUUAAUUCGAUGCAACGCGAAAAACCUUACCUACCCUUGACAUGGCAGGAAU
rnacentral:rRNA from 1 species